AUUGAACGCUGGCGGAAGGCCUAACACAUGCAAGUCGAACGAGUGGCGGACGGGUGAGUAAUGUCUGGGAAACUGCCUGCUGGAGGGGGAUAACUACAGGAACCGGUAGCUAAUACCGCAUACCCUCAGAUGUGCCCACAUGGGAUUAGCUUGUUGGUGGGGUAACGGCUCACCAAGGCGACGAUCCCUAGCUGGGCUGAGAGGAUGACCAGCCACCCGGGAACUGAGACACGGUCCAGACUCCUACGGGAGGCAGCAGUGGGGAAUAUUGGACAAUGGGCGCAAGCCUGAUGCAGCCAUGCCGCGUGUAUGAAGAAGGCCUUCGGUUUGUAAAGUACUUUCAGCGGGGAGGCGUGACCCGCAGAAGAAGCACCGGCUAACUCCGUGCCAGCAGCCGCGGUAAUAC
rnacentral:rRNA from 1 species